UGGGUUCAGGCCCAGAAUGCCAGCUUUGCCCUAUCCCAUAGCCUGGGGCCACCACAGGAGAGGCACGCCACUCUCUUGGGCUCCUGGAGCCUCAGGGGCAGAGCCAGCCGGGAGUGCAGGAGGGAGAACUUUCCUAUGGAUGUCCUGUGUUCUCCAGACGCAGAGAACCUUCAUCAACCGAGGGAGAAGUCACUUCCGAAUCCACAGAUGGUGUGUGACUGCAUGGCAAGCGCCUCCCGGACACACUUACUGUUCCCUCGCUCUGGCCAGAUGCCAGCCGGACCCUGUGUGUGCACGCCGUGCUGCUCUUUGCAGCUGCCUGCAAGGGGUUGCUGCGAAGACCAGCGCCUUGGUGAAGAGCCUGCGGCUGAACUUGAACUCAGGGCUACCUGAGUCAGGCCUGUGCUUUUUCAUCUCUGCGGAUGAUGUCAGAGCGUUUCCCUAGCAAUGUUUUAGAAGUUACUUCUGUCUGGAAAAAAAUGGAAAAAAUGGCAAAUUAUGUUACACAUAAUUUGAUAAUUUUAAAGAAUUAACGAUGUAAUUAUUACUCAAACCCA
rnacentral:antisense_RNA from 1 species